UAAAAGAAGAAGUUUAAUUAAGUCAGUUUUAUUAUCACGUUUAAGUUAGUGGGAUUAAGGGUCAGUUUAUUUAUCCCAUUUAAGUUAGUGGAGUUAGGUAGUUUAUAAGUUUUAAAAGAACAGACAACAACUUACGUUAGUUCAUUCAUCAUAUUCAAACAACAGACAGUCAGAAAAGCUUAAUAUCAGGGAAGAAGAAAGACAGAGGAGAGGGAAAGAGAUUGCUGAUUAAGGCUACUAAGAGGAUUUUCGGAUUUGCUACUUGAAAGUAAAAUUUACGAGAUCAAGUUGUGAUUUGGUCAACCACGCUGGAACUUUGGGGAGUGAUGUUUAAUUUAGUAGCACUUAAAUUAUUUAGGAUUUAUUUAAAUAUUAUGAACAUCGUACUAUCUUAAUUAGUAUUCAGACUUUUAUCUUGA
rnacentral:sRNA from 1 species